GGUGAGGCUGUGCCACUGCUUUAUUAGAAGGAGAAGCUGGUGCCAUGCUGAUUGUAAAAGCCAGAGGUUUGAUCUGGCCAGUGGAGGAUUUCCACUCGGCCGGCGGCCGGCAUCCUUUCCUGCAGCCGUGUGCCCCCUUGCAGCUCCGUCUAGUCUCGCUGCUCCCGAGCGUCUCCGCCGCCUCUCCGCGCACCAGCAAUAGCUGCAGCAGCCGCUGCUUACGACUCCAGCGUCUCUCUCUCUCUCUCUCUCUCUCUCUCUCCCUCCCUCCCUUGCUUUCCUCUCGCUUCUCCGCUUUCGCUCAGCCCAGCUUCACGUUCAGGGUUUAGCAGCGAGGUCACGUCCAUUGACGUCAGCUUGAGUCUUACUGUACGUCCGGCUACAUUUACAUACAUCAAGGAAAUUAGGGCAUUAAAAAAAUAUGCAAAUCCUGCUGCUUGAAGAAGAGACUGUAGAUUCCCGGAGCGAUCGCUUCCUUUCAUUGAAGAUUUUAAUUAAGGGAACAAAAAGGGGGGAGGGGGGAAGCAGAGCCCACCAAAUCGAGCCUUUCCCCCCUAAAAAAAACAAAACAAAAACAAAACAAAAAAAGCCACAACAGCAAAAGCUCAAAUGACCGUGAUCUGCUAAUCACAGGGACGAGAUCGCUGCCGAUCGCCUUCUGCCGCUGACUGGGGGCGGCCGGCCUGCAGCGCCGCGCGGAGAAGAAGAGCAGGUUACGGGAGGCUGCUACAGCCAGACGUCUCUCUCUAUGCAUAAUCAACGCUGCGCCAUUCUCCUCUUCUUCUCCUCCUCCUCCUGCUGCUGCUCCGGUUGGCUCCAACGUGUAUUAUUUUAAUACUGAUGCAUAUGUAAAGCUUGAGGAAAACCUCCAGGAUCAUUGGCACAGAUGUAACGACACAAUGAGUCGCCUAAAGUCACACGUGCCCAAGACCGAAAAGGGGGAAGGGUCUCUCCUCUCCACCUUAAAAACAAUCCGGCAAUC